rnacentral:rRNA from 1 species
GUGGAUUAGAUACCCCGGUAGUCCACGCCGUAAACGGUGGGCGCUAGGUGUGGGUUUCCUUCCACGGGAUCCGUGCCGUAGCUAACGCAUUAAGCGCCCCGCCUGGGGAGUACGGCCGCAAGGCUAAAACUCAAAGGAAUUGACGGGGGCCCGCACAAGCGGCGGAGCAUGUGGAUUAAUUCGAUGCAACGCGAAGAACCUUACCUGGGUUUGACAUCUAUCGGAAAGCCGUAGAGAUACGGCCCCCCUUGUGGUCGGUAGACAGGUGGUGCAUGGCCGUCGCCAGCU